CGUGUAGGCGGCUUAUUAAGUCAGAUGUGAAAGCCUCCCGCUUAACGGGAGAACUGCAUUUGAAACUGGUAGGCUUGAGUGUGAGAAGGGGUAGCGGAAUUCCCAGUGUAGCGGUGAAAUGCGUAGAUAUUGGGAAGAACACCAGUAGCGAAGGCGGCUACCUGGCUCAUUACUGACGCUAAUGCGCGAAAGCGCGGGGAGCAAACA
rnacentral:rRNA from 1 species